AUCCCUUUGUUUUAAAGCCCCAGAUAAAAAUCCAUUUCCUUCACAAUAAGAUCCAGCAUAUACUAUUCUGGGCACAAUGCUUGGCCUCUGGAGGCAUUCAGGAGGCACCUGCUUUGGGUAUAUGUAAGCCUGAAUCUACUAUUAAGCUCUGGAAAGUGUAAUAGAAAUAUGAAGGGGAAGAAAAGAUAAAUUCCUUCUAAGGAAAUUGGAACUGGAAGAAGUUGGUAUUUGAGCUAGACCUUGAAAAAAAAAAAAAAAAGGUGGAGGAAUUUAUUGAAAGGCUACUGGAACCAGUUUGUCCAGGAAGGGUUGGACAGGCUGAGUCUGGGUCCUUAGCAACAUAAAGUUGAAAGAAUAAAGUCACGUUCUAGAUUGUUAGAAUAGUCUUUUAAAGUAGUAACUAUAUCAACCUAUUAAUACAUUAAUACUGUCUAACAUUGGGGUUACAAAAAAUAAAUCACAACUUUUCACAUCUAGAACUAUGGUUCUAAACCAAGUGUGGAAAACCAUGCAACCAUGGUUUUCACCAUGGAACAUUUGACAAUAUCUGGAGACAGUUUUUAUCACCAUGCCUGGGGGCUUGGGGUGCCACUCAGAUCUGUUGAGAAGAGACCAGGGAUGCUGUUAACUAUAAAGACAUGUAGUUUUGGGCCAUGCACAUACAGGGAAGAGCAUUCUGAACUAAGGGAACAGAACAAACUGUGGAACAGGAGUAGUGUGGUGGUUUAAAAUACAUCUACAAGUUGACACUUCUCUAGAAAAGUGAAGCCUCAUUCCCCUCCCCUUGAAUAUGGACUUAGUGAUUCAUUCCUAACUGAUAGACUAUGGGCGAAGUGAUGCUGUGCAGCUCAUGACACUAGGUCAUUAUAAGGACAGCUUUGUGUUCCCUUACAUAUGAGUUUUGUGAAUUUGUUCCCUGCAUUACAAAUCAUGAUAAACUUGCCGACUUAAAACAACAUUCACUAUCUCACAUUUCUUUAGAUCAGAAUUCUGGAUGGGCUCCAGUGGGUUAUCUGCUUGAGAUCCCACAAGACCAACAUGAAGGUGUCCACCAGCCUGGCACUCUCUCCUGGAUCGCUUACUUUGCAGGAAUCCAGCAUCUAGCCUCAAACAGCCCUGGAAGAGAAAUGAAGAACUGAGACCUCCUCCCAGCAACAAGGACCGCCUUUUGAGUGAGCCACCUCAGGACCAGAUCCCAGGUGUGACCUAUCAGCCUCCUGAGAAAAUCCAAGCCAGAACCAUCCAGCUAAGCACUUCCUAAAUUCCUGACCCACAAAAACUGGGAGUAAGACAGUAAAUGCUUACUGUUUUAAACAGUCACUUUGGGGGGGGGGGGUAAUUUGUUUCCAUAGCAAUAAAUGGCCUUAAAAAUACAGGGUAUGCCGAGGGCUUGGAAUGGUGCACACGAAUGGGGAUUAAAAAUAAUGUGGAUGAGGCAAUGGAGUCAGAUGAACUGCCUUGAAUGUCAAACUGAAGUGUUUGCCUUUCAUUUGGUUUCUGAAGAAAUCUACAAUGUGGACUUAGUACAUCCAGAUCACAUGUGACUUACUCUCUGUUAGAGCAGUAAGGGCAGGAGUGGCUAUAGUUGGUAUUGGGGAGCAUGCUUGCCAUGUCUCUAGAAGAAGAAAAACCGUAACCUGUACAUGUCACUACUACAUGCGAAGUCCAUGGAUGGCAGGGGCUAGUUUUGAGUCAUGCUUUGUCAAUAUAAAGCUUCCCCUGGCUUGAUUUAAAAAAAAGAGAGAGAGAAAGAAUGAGAAAAAACUUCUCACAUGUAUCCAGGUCACUAAUGUAACACCACCGACUUGAUUGUUCUUACCCACCAGCCUCUUUGCAAGAAGGUGACACAUUAAAUUGCUUCCACCUGUGA
rnacentral:lncRNA from 1 species